UCAUAAUCUAACUGAUCCAGUGGCUAUGAAACCCAAAACCCAUCAAUGCAUAGUAGAGAAAAUUUUAAUAAAUACGGUCGCAGGCUUUCUCUAUAUCCAGCUUGAUGGCCAUCAGGCAACGUUAGCCCAGGACUUUCUACAAAUUAAACAUAAACUUAUGGGCAAUCAGAAUAUUAUUAGAGAUACUGCGACCACUAACAAAAGCCCCCUGCUCCAAACAGAU
rnacentral:lncRNA from 1 species